UCGAUAUAUGAAAUUAACUACAAAAUAAAAUUUGAAUAACAAAAUAAGAAUUUGCUUGGAAUCAAAAAUCCUCACACUAUUUAAUUAGAAUUUUUUUGCAUUAAAAAAUUUAGUUUAUGCAAAUAUCACCUACUUGGAUAACAACAAAUCAAAUUAAUAAAAAGAUCGUCUCUGAAAAUAUAAUUUUUGUUUUUUAAAUAAUUAUUUAAAUAUAUUAGGCUCAAAAAAAAUUUAUAAUUACCAAAUAUAAUUAUUUUGUGUACAGUAACUAUAUAAUUAGAAUUUAAGUUUAUCAUUGUAUUGAUGAGUUGCUAAUCUUUGUUUGUCAAUAUGCGCGUCUGUUAAAAAUAAAUGAAUUAUAAGAAACAUAAACAAGUUCAAGCUAUAAACAAAUGUUUAAAAUUAAAUUCAUACUUGAUAUCAAAUUCUCGUCUUAGACAGAUCUCAUCAAAGCUCUACAUUAUUUUAGUGAUUUUAUAAAAAUUAUUUACUAGUAUUAAUACUGACAAUAAUAAUAAAUUUUAUACUACAGUUUAAAUCGUCCGAUAAUCGAAUAAUAAAAAUGUCAAAAGUAUUUUUGGUUUUAAUUUUGACAGUUGUGUUGUUAGCUUCUGCUAACUUUCUUACAGCAGAAGGAUGCUAUGGUAAAUCGUGCCGACAAACGGAAGGUAACGGUUGCUGUCCUGGAUACGUAUGUACGUCUACCCCGACUAAGGAUGGAAGCUGCGUUACAAUUGCAGAAUUUAGGGGAAGAAAUGGCAGGAUCGUUCCAUUGAUUGACAAUUUACAUAGUUUUCUUCCUAAAUAAAGUUUUUUUUUUUUUACUAAUAAUUAUUCUAGUGAUUUUAUUAAAUUCGUUGAACUAUCACUUAUUUUUUCUAUAAUAUAUUAGGGUGGUCGUUAAAAAUUAAAUUUUCUCAGGCGCCCCAUAAAAAGCUUCUUUUUAGUGAAAAAAUACGUGGGGAAUUCGGUUAUUUCGUUUUAAGUAAAAAGAACACGUGCCGCGGGAGAUCAAAGUUCAUUUUUCGAUACAAUCGCGGUUUUUUUUAAAUAUCUUAUGAAAUAUGCAGAUUAAUGAAAAAAAUCAUAGGAACAAUUUUGUAGGAAAUUGAAUCCUUGACAAAAAAGGUCAUUUUCAUUUUUAUCAUAAAACGUGUAUUUAUGAAGAUAUUUUAAAAAAACUUUUUUAGAUCUUAUCAAUUGAGCAUUUUAAGUCUUACGAAUGAUAAAAAUAACUUUUUUUUUUUUAAAUAUAGACAACUUCAUAACUCAUAGCAUAUCAAUCCUCAAUACUCGUUAUAGUUUCUAUAUAUUUAGAAAAAUGUUAUUUUCAAAAUUUGUAAUCCUUAAAACGCUCAAUUGAUAAGAUAUAAAAAAAGUUUUUUCAAAAUAUCUUCAUAAAUACACAUUUUAUAGAAAAAAUAAAAAAGACCUUUUUUGUCAAGAAUUUAAUUUCCAACAAAAUUGUCCCUAUGAUUUUUUCCAUUAAUUUGCAUAUUUCAUGAGAUAUUUAAAAAAAACCGCGAUUGCAUCCAAAAAAUGAACUUUGAUCGUCCUGCGGCACAUGUUCUUUUUACUUAAAAUGAAAAAACCAAAUUUUUUUACUAAAAAGAAGCUUUUGAUGGUGGGCCUGAGAAAAUUUAAUUUUUAACGACCACCCUAAUAUAUAUUUUUAACUAAUAGUCAAAUUGUGUUUUCAUUAAAAAUUAUGCUUUAAUUUUUUAAAUUAUGAAAAUAAAUCGAUAUUUUUUGUAAAAUUAACAAA